rnacentral:tmRNA from 1 species
AGGGGCGGGAAUAAUGCCUAACGAAGUAAUACCUAUUCUAGAAAUUAUCAAUUUGGCUAAAAAUCAUGGGUUACUUGACCAAUAAAAUAUCAAUAUAUAGAAGCCUAAGAAACUGUGUGCGUGCUUCUACCCAGCAUCGUCCAUGUGACUGGAUUAGGGGCUAACAAGUAGUGGAAUACGCUGUCACAUCUCCGCCUGGGGUGUGCUGAAGAAGACAAUCAGGCUGACCUUAGCGAUAGCCGGUUACGGGGCGCUUGCUAGGGUGACAUCAAAUCUGUGACUGCACCCGUAGAUGCCUAUGUGGCGAUGUCUUCGGACAGGGGUUCAAAUCCCCUCGCCUCCACCA